rnacentral:rRNA from 1 species
UACGUAGGCAGCAAGCGUUGUUCGGAGUUACUGGCGUAAGGGUGCGUAGGCGGCUUUUUAAGUUUGGUGUGAAAUCUCCCGGCUCAACUGGGAGGGUGCGCCGAAUACUGAGAGGCUAGAGUGUGGGAGAGGAAAGUGGAAUUCCUGGUGUAGCGGUGAAAUGCGUAGAUAUCAGGAGGAACACCGGUGGUGUAAACGGCUUCUGGACCAUAACUGACGCUGAUGCACGAAAGCGUGGGUAGCAAACAGG